ACGGUACAAAAGUAUUUGUAUCGGAGUAUAAAAAUGUACUAUUUGCAAAAGUUUUUUCAAUUACAAAAUGCCUUUCGUUUAAUUGUACUAUAUCUUACAAGUAACUUCUGUUGAGACUAAAAAGAUUAAAGUGUUUACCUGUGCUACGCGUCUCCGAAUAGAACAACUCCUCGCAGAUGGAGUUUGCCAAUUGUGGUAACACUCGAUCCUAGACAUAACACUCGAACGAGCUCUAUGAGUAACACUCCAGUCUGGUAGACAGGCGUACAGAUACAGCUCUCUCUACGUCUUUUUCUCACUACGAAGUUAAUUAGAGGAGCAGAAAAAGUUGAGAAAGGACGAAGGAGUUUUGGUCGAAUAUAAUGUGUGUCUGGAACCCUUUUAUUUCUGGAUUCUCUAUUAAAUACAGUCGCUCUGAAAAUGGAAGAUCCAACUCGCAUCAGAGUGUCCAACUCGUGUCAGUUUGCUUCGUCGAGUCAGCAAGGACUUCAGGAUCCUAAGAGGAGUCCAGUAACGAUAUAAAGUUCAGCUACUGAAAGGAUCGCAUUCCGAUGUCAAUCUGAGAAUAUAGCUGCUUCGCGGAGACAAGAAUACUUGGUAGAAGUUCCAUUUCCAGCUUGCAAUUCUUGAAAAGUCCAAGGGCUCUCAAUUCGUCUGAAGUAUCGAAUCGUUCGAUCAAAAGCACUGGGACUGUGGAUAUCGCAAUGGAAGUAACACGAUUGACCAUAAACGUCUCAUUAGCUUGCUCUACCUCCUUCUACACGCUCCAACCAUUUUUCAUCUAGACUGCAAUAGUACCACCUACUUUGGUAUCUACCUUCCUCACUCGCUCAUCCAUCGGCUGGUCCAUUGGCUCCGGAUCUCACGGCAAUAAAUAAGGGAGAAGAGAUGCUGUGGGACGACAGUAGCCAUGUCGUGCGGAAUGCAUCGGCUUCUGUCAAACGAGAACGACGCUCGAUCCCAGCAGCCAUUGAACGGUCGGAAGAGGCUGCUGCGAGCUGAUCCAGGACUAGAUUGCAUUAAGGCUUUUCCAAAAUGAGCGAUUCCUUCGGCCGCUUCUUUUUUUUUGGUUUGCUGGCCUGAUCGACCUGGACCCCUAACGAUUCCCAGACCCGGGCAUGAACCCUAUGGACAUGGGCAAUCUGCAGUAUGGUUCGACGCAUGGCUGCUCGUAAAUUCUACGUCCUAUCAUUGACAGACGGAGCUUAAAAGAGCUUUACUACGAAGCUUCGAAAAGAACCAGCUUACAGUCUGUCUCGUACUCGCUGGUGCUACUCUAGUCGAUACCAGCCUUUACUGGAGGAUAUACGAAUUACGUACUCGUACAAUUUGCCGCGCGAGCGGUUGAGCUAACAACUUGCAAAUUGCUCGACGAGUGUUUAUCGGGCCGAUAAUUUGAAUGCUGAGCAAUGGAUGAAGAUUUGCAAGGAACGAGACAGCAUUGGUAUCGAUCCUAGACUGAUUGGAAUUUUCCACAGUUUAGUAAUACGUUGUGGCAAGUCAUUCUUAACCAGCUGGCUAUAGCACGCGUAUAUAUACAGACACAUAACGUACACGCGGAAAAGCGACGAGUUAAACCGCGAAUUCAAUUGGACGUAAGAAAGAAAGUGAACAACAAAUGGACAAAGUCUGUUCCGGACAUGGCUCGGCCUUGGUCAUUUGACGCCUCAUUUCUGUUACCGCAAAAAGCGACGUAACGACCACCGGAGACCCACGUAGUACAGUCCUCACCACGAUACGUACCUAUAUAUAUCCAAUUUCUUACGUUUCACGCUUUCCGCAUCCGCGGAAUCGCGUGAUAGGGUUCUUCCGCAAAAACCAAGAUAGACGAGUCCUGGCAAAAAUCGCAAAAACACGAGACGAUAAAUAACAGUCCUUUCGAUAAAGGAUCGUGGAAAAUCGCAUAACGAGCUUAGUUAAAGGUACUGAUAUAUUUUGUACAUGUAGUUUUAAAAGACGGAACUUUAAGUCUUUGAUAAAUAUAUUUUGGAAAUUAGAACGACACUGCUUUCGUCCCGAUAAAUCCAUCGUGCGUAACGCCAAGCACGUACCUGUAUUUUAAUUUGAUAUAUCAAUUUUACUUGGCCGGAUUAUCAAAAUUACAAAAUUAAAUAAUUGCUAAUUGAACGAAUGUUUGAUUAUGAAGUUUCUAUCAAAGAAAAUUGCUUAUAUUUACAUGUUAUCAGGCAUCGUGAAUUAUUAUAGACUUGAUAACAAAAUUCUUUUUAUAUUCUUCAAGACUUUCUGUAUUUGUAGAAAAACUCCAUUAA